UACGUAGGCAGCAAGCGUUGUUCGGAAUUACUGGGCGUAAAGCGCGUGUAGGCUGCUCUGCAAGUCGGGUGCGAAAGCCCCGGGCUCAACCUGGGAAGUGCACUCGAAACUGCAGAGCUCGAGUCCUGGAGAGGAAGGCGGAAUUCUCGGUGUAGAGGUGAAAUUCGUAGAUAUCGAGAGGAACACCGGUGGCGAAGGCGGCCUUCUGGACAGUGACUGACGCUGAGACGCGAAAGCGUGGGGAGCAAACAGG
rnacentral:rRNA from 1 species